GCAGACACAUUCCAGCCAAUCAGCAGCAGACCCUCCCUCCCAGACCCUCCCACCUCCUGGACAGUUCACUAAGAAUGCAGCUUCACAAUGAAUGUAAAAUGGAUGCUGUCCAGGAGGUGGGAGGGUCUGGGAGGGAGGGUCUGCUGCUGAUUGGCUGGAAUGUGUCUG